rnacentral:rRNA from 1 species
AGUGAACGCUGGCGGUAGGCCUAACACAUGCAAGUCGAACGGCAGCACAGUAAGAGCUUGCUCUUACGGGUGGCGAGUGGCGGACGGGUGAGGAAUACAUCGGAAUCUACUUUUUCGUGGGGGAUAACGUAGGGAAACUUACGCUAAUACCGCAUACGACCUACGGGUGAAAGCAGGGGAUCUUCGGACCUUGCGCGAUUGAAUGAGCCGAUGUCGGAUUAGCUAGUUGGCGGGGUAAAGGCCCACCAAGGCGACGAUCCGUAGCUGGUCUGAGAGGGUGAUCAGCCACACUGGAACUGAGACACGGUCCAGACUCCUACGGGAGGCAGCAGUGGGGAAUAUUGGACAAUGGGCGCAAGCCUGAUCCAGCCAUACCGCGUGGGUGAAAAAGGCCUUCGGGUUGUAAAGCCCUUUUGUUGGGAAAGAAAAGCAGCAGGUUAAUACCCCGCUGUUCUGACGGUACCCAAAGAAUAAGCACCGGCUAACUUCGUG